rnacentral:piRNA from 1 species
UGAGAGUGAGCUGUCAUUCACUGGGUGU